rnacentral:rRNA from 1 species
UACGGAGGGUGCGAGCGUUGUCCGGAAUCACUGGGCGUAAAGGGCGCGUAGGCGGCUCGUUAAGUUGUGGGUGAAAUCCCGGGGCUCAACUCCGGGGCUGCCAGUAAGACUGGCGGGCUAGAGCACGGUAGAGGCAGAUGGAAUUCCCGGUGUAGCGGUGGAAUGCGUAGAGAUCGGGAAGAACACCAGUGGCGAAGGCGAUCUGCUGGGCCGUUGCUGACGCUGAGGCGCGACAGCGUGGGGAGCAAACAGG